GAUGAACGCUGGCGGCGUGCUUAACACAUGCAAGUCGAACGGAAAGGCUCCUGCUUGCAGGGGUACUCGAGUGGCGAACGGGUGAGUAACACGUGGGUGAUCUGCCCUGCACUUCGGGAUAAGCCUGGGAAACUGGGCCUAAUACCGGAUAGGACGAUGGGUUGGAUGCAAUUGUGGAAAGUUUUUCGGUGUGGGAUGAGCUCGCGGCCUAUCAGCUUGUUGGUGGGGUAAUGGCCUACCAAGGCGUCGACGGGUAGCCGGCCUGAGAGGGUGUACGGCCACAUUGGGCCUGAGAUACGGCCCAGACUCCUACGUUGGGCAGCAGUGGGGAAUAUUGCACAAUGAGCGCAAGCCUGAUGCAGCGACGCCGCGUGGGUGAUGACGGCCUUCGGGUUGUAAACUCCUUUCGCUAGGGACGAAGCGCAAGUGACGGUACCUGGAGAAGAAGCACCGGCUAACUACGUG
rnacentral:rRNA from 1 species